rnacentral:rRNA from 1 species
AUGAUGCCCAGCUUGCUGGGUGGAUUAGUGGCGAACGGGUGAGUAACACGUGAGUAACCUGCCCCUGACUCUGGGAUAAGCGUUGGAAACGACGUCUAAUACUGGAUAUGACUGCCGGCCGCAUGGUCUGGUGGUGGAAAGAUUUUUCGGUUGGGGAUGGACUCGCGGCCUAUCAGCUUGUUGGUGAGGUAAUGGCUCACCAAGGCGACGACGGGUAGCCGGCCUGAGAGGGUGACCGGCCACACUGGGACUGAGACACGGCCCAGACUCCUACGGGAGGCAGCAGUGGGGAAUAUUGCACAAUGGGCGAAAGCCUGAUGCAGCAACGCCGCGUGAGGGAUGACGGCCUUCGGGUUGUAAACCUCUUUUAGUAGGGAAGAAGCGAAAGUGACGGUACCUGCAGAAAAAGCACCGGCUAACUACGUGCCAGCAGCCGCGGUAAUACGUAGGGUGCAAGCGUUGUCCGGAAUUAUUGGGCGUAAAGAGCUCGUAGGCGGUUUGUCGCGUCUGCUGUGAAAUCCCGAGGCUCAACCUCGGGCUUGCAGUGGGUACGGGCAGACUAGAGUGCGGUAGGGGAGAUUGGAAUUCCUGGUGUAGCGGUGGAAUGCGCAGAUAUCAGGAGGAACACCGAUGGCGAAGGCAGAUCUCUGGGCCGUAACUGACGCUGAGGAGCGAAAGCGUGGGGAGCGAACAGGAUUAGAUACCCUGGUAGUCCACGCCGUAAACGUUGGGCGCUAGAUGUAGGGACCUUUCCACGGUUUCUGUGUCGUAG